CAACACAAGCAACUAGUUAUUAAUAUCAACUUAUCCACUUUUCUAAAUAAAAUCAAAUCUCCACACACCUAUACUAACCCUAUUCACUAAUACAAGUACCGCAAGGGACAUGCCAAACUUAAUUAACAGCCAAAAUAAAGUUUUGUACUUUUCGCAUCACGGCUUAGCAAAAAACAACCAAAACAGGUCAAUCCCGAAUUCCUGUGAGCUGAGUUAGCUUUGCUUAGCGCCAUAGCAGUAUGUGUUGCAACACAUUUGCAAAAAGCUAACCCAGUGGCUACAUACCUUUCGCACAGGAUGAUAGCUGGUUUUCUGUGAACUCUGCAUGAGCAGAGCCAAGAAACUACACAAGUUUCUUAUGCUCAAACUGGGAGGCCAAGCUCCCAUUUAUAGCCUAUCCACCACAAAUCAAGCUAAAUAACUCAAAGUAGGCCUUAAAGCAGCCAUCUCCCAACUCAACGCGUUACCGCAGCAAGCCACCAUGUCACUGCAUAAAUACCUUCUAACCAUAACCAUGGCUAAACCAACAGAGACAGGUUGUCAACCAACCUCAACAACUUAGUAUUCUGCUAAGAUUAGUACCCAUACACCACACUGCUUUAUACAUACUAAAAAACAGGAACAAAGCACUGACCAAACACAAGUUCUACUAACAAAAUACCAGGAAGGAACUCGGCAAACCCGAACUCCGACUGUUUACCAAAAACACUGCCUCACGAAAAUAAAUAUGAGAGGUCCAUCCUGCCCGGUGACCUACGGGUUAAACGGCCGCGGUACCCUGACCGUGCUAAGGUAGCGUGAUAAUUCGCCCUUUAAUUGUGGGCUCGUAUGAAAGGACAAACGAGAGUUCAGCUGUCUCCCAGGUAGAACAGGAAAUUGUUAUCCAGGUGAAGAAACCUGGAUUUAGAUAAAGGACAAAAAGACCCCAUAGAGCUUUGUUAUACUCCCAAUUAACCAUAAAAUACUCGUAUAUUUAUGGUUAACAAGGUAAUAACUUAACUGGGGCGGUUAAGGAAAACCUAAAACUUCCGUUUACAGUUCUAACUGCAUAUCAAGGCAAAACCAGCCACACAAGCACAACUGAUCCUUAUCAAAAAGAUCAAAGGAUUAGCUACCUUGGGGAUAACAGAUUCAUCCCCCUUAAGAGUCCGCAUUGACAGGGGGGCUUGACACCUCGAUGUUGGCUUAGGAUAACCUGAGGGUCAGCAGCAGCCCUCAAGGGUAGGUUUGUUCAACCUUUAAAAUCCUACAUGAGCUGAGUUCAGACCGGCGCAAGCUAGGUCAGCUUCUAUCCUUAUCUAACCAAUAUCCCACGAUGUUGCAAUUGUACGAAAGGACCUUGCUUCAAAACAUGUUUUAUACACCCCGAAAUAUAUACAGGCAAUCCCCUACACAACAACCCUACUGGUACACAACCAA
rnacentral:rRNA from 1 species